rnacentral:rRNA from 1 species
UACGGAGGGUGCAAGCGUUGCUCGGAAUUAUUGGGCGUAAAGGGUAGGUAGGUGGUCUCAUUUGUCUGGGGUGAAAGCCUUGAGCUUAACUCCAGAACUGCCUUUGAUACUGAGGAUCUUGAGUUCGGGAGAGGUGAGUGGAACUGCGAGUGUAGAGGUGAAAUUCGUAGAUAUUCGCAAGAACACCAGUGGCGAAGGCGGCUCACUGGCCCGAUACUGACGCUGAGGCACGAAAGCGUGGGGAGCAAACAGG